GUCUUUUUGAUUUUAAUUUAAAGUUUAACCUGCCCAUUGAAAAUUUUUAAAAGGCUGCGGUAUUUUGACUGUACAAAGGUAGCAUAAUCAUUAGUUUUUUAAUUGAAAACUUGUAUGAAUGGUUGAAUGAAAAAUUAACUUUUUUAAAAAAAUAAUUGAAUUUUACUUUUUAAUUAAAAGGUUAAAAUAAAUUUAAAAGACGAGAAGACCCUAUAGAGUUUUAUAAUUUUUAUUUAAUAUUUAAAAAGAUUAAUUAAAAUUUUAUAAAAGAAAAUAUUUUGUUGGGGUGAUAAUAAAAUUUAAAUAACUUUUAUUUUUUUUUUACAUUAAUAUAUGAAUUUAUGAUCCAUUAUUGAUGAUUAUAAAUUUAAAUUACCUUAGGGAUAACAGCGUAAUUUUUUUUUAAAGUUCAUAUUAAUAAAAAAUUUUGCGACCUCGAUGUUGGAUUAAGAUUUAAUUUUAGGUGCAGCAGUUUAAAUUUUAAGUCUGUUCGACUUUUAAAUUCUU
rnacentral:rRNA from 1 species